rnacentral:rRNA from 1 species
UACGAAGGGGGCUAGCGUUGUUCGGAAUCACUGGGCGUAAAGGGCGCGUAGGCGGCUACUUAAGCGUGUGGUGAAAGUCCGGGGCUCAACCCCGGAUCGGCCGUGCGAACUGAGUGGCUCGAGCACUGUAGAGGCAGGUGGAAUUCCGGGUGUAGCGGUGGAAUGCGUAGAGAUCCGGAAGAACACCGGUGGCGAAGGCGGCCUGCUGGGCAGUGGCUGACGCUGAGGCGCGACAGCGUGGGGAGCAAACAGG